rnacentral:lncRNA from 1 species
UCCCCCCCCCCCACACACACACACAGAGACACACCCCACUCCCUCAUUUUCUAUUAUUUCUUUCCUUUCCACACACACACGCACAGACACACACUUCAAAGUGUGGAUUUCUCUCGGAUAACACACACACACGCACAGACACACACUUCUACACACACACACGCACAGACACACUUCAAAGUGCAAAUCCACACCAGGGACCAAGCCAUUUCCUUCUCUCACUCACUUCGACUCUCUCUCUCUUCUCUGCACUGUCUCUCUCUCUCUCUCUCUCAAAAUCCUCUUACCUCUCUCCCUCUCUUGCCGUGACCACACACACACACAGCAGCAGCACCAUCUGCUCGACUCGAGCAGCUCGAGGACGACACCACCAUCAUCACACAUCAUCAGUCUUCUCUCUCCAGCCUCUGCGAGAAUGGCGGAUGACACUGUGACCUCCACCGUGGCGCACACUCCGGCGAGCACCAUCACCACCUGUGAGAGGCGCAGAUCUUGGCAGCUGCGACGACGGAGCUUGGCUGCCGUUCCGACGACGGAGAGAGAGAGCGAUAUUAUCGAUAUUAUUGAUAAUAUCGAUAAUAUCGCGAUAUUAUCACGAUAAUCAAUUGGAAUACUCUGAAAAUAUCGCUGUUGGAAAAAAACGAUAUUAUUGGCGAUAUUUCGCCGAUAAUAUCGAUAUUUAAUUCCUUGCCUGCUAUUAGUUAGCAAACCUAAAGUUCGUUAUAAUUAGAACACGUAAAUGUCUGAGCAUCACAGUUUAAUUAAUGUGAUAUUAUGUAUGAAUUUUCUUUUUGCCAUUUUUUUAAUUUAAAUUUGAAUUGCUUUAGUUUUAUUAGGUUUAUUUGUGAGAACCGACAUAUAUCGUGUCUUACAUCAGACUCGUUCAUUUGUCGACCUUAAUUUCUCCCUGAUUAUGGCACUUGGGCCUCAAUGACCCAACACUGCUCAAUUAUUGGCUUAAUAAUUAUGACUUGAUCAUGCACUUACAGCUAGUCUAGUUGCAACCAUCUUUAUCAUAUUUCUUUUUCUUUGUGGGAUUUCAAUGAUCCAAAAAAGAAACAUUCUACUUUCUCUCUUUCCCCGCGAAAAUCUUCAACGUACAAACUUUCACUAAGAAGAACUAUCAAGUUUUUGUACUCUCUCACGACCAACAUCGUUGAGUUUUUCAUUUCUCCCAGUCUCGGUUACCAUCACACAAAUAUAGAUUAACAUAAAAUACUUUCUUCAUUAGUCUUGAAAAUGAACAAUGAAGAUUAACUCCAAGAAAUCAAACAAUGAAAAUUGUUUGAAAAGUCGAACUACUUGAUAGGCUGAACUACCGAGGACAAACCCAUAUAUAAUAUGCAUACUCGUGUGCUGAAAAAGGCAUACAAAUUGGAUCCCCAAAGCCAUUAAGGUGCUUUACUUUUUUUUUUUCCAAGAAGGUGCUUUACUUCACUUGAUAUAAUUUUUCACAGCUCGUAAGAUAGGUCGAUAAGGAAUAAGAUUAACGAACAUAAAGUACAUAUAGCCAUGAUGUUGAAGGCUUGAAGCCAAUACAAAAAAUUUACCGUAUAAUUUUAUCAUAAUUU